rnacentral:rRNA from 1 species
CCUACGGGAGGCAGCAGUGAGGAAUAUUGGUCAAUGGCCGGAAGGCUGAACCAGCCAAGUCGCGUGCAGGAUGACGGUGCUACGGAUUGUAAACUUCUUUUGUCAGGGGACAAAAUCAGGCUCGUGAGCCUGAUCGAGGAUACAUGAUGAAAAAGCAUCGGCUAACUCGGUGCCAGCCGCCGCGGUAAUACGGAGGAUGCGGGCGUUAUCCGGAUUUAUUGGGUUUAAGGGGUGCGUAGACGGGCUGUUAUGUCUGCGUGAAAAGCGCGGGGUUCAACCCCGUCGAGCCGUUGAAACUGGCGGUCUUGAGAGCACGCAAGGUAGGCGGAAUGCGCGGUGUAGCGGUGAAAUGCUUAGAUAUCACGCAGAACUCCGAUUGCGAAGGCA